rnacentral:rRNA from 1 species
CAAUAAGCGGAGGAAAAGAAACCAACAGGGAUUGCUCUAGUAACGGCGAGUGAAGCAGCAAUAGCUCAAAUUUGAAAUCUGGCGUCUUCGACGUCCGAGUUGUAAUUUGUAGAGGAUGCUUCUGAGUAACCACCGACCUAAGUUCCUUGGAACAGGACGUCAUAGAGGGUGAGAAUCCCGUAUGCGGUCGGAAAGGUGCUCUAUACGUAGCUCCUUCGACGAGUCGAGUUGUUUGGGAAUGCAGCUCUAAAUGGGAGGUAAAUUUCUUCUAAAGCUAAAUAUUGGCCAGAGACCGAUAGCGCACAAGUAGAGUGAUCGAAAGAUGAAAAGCACUUUGGAAAGAGAGUUAAAAAGCACGUGAAAUUGUUAAAAGGGAAGGGAUUGCAACCAGACUUGCUCGCGGUGUUCCGCCGGUCUUCUGACCGGUCUACUCGCCGCGUUGCAGGCCAGCAUCGUCUGGUGCCGCUGGAUAAGACUUGAGGAAUGUAGCUCCCUCGGGAGUGUUAUAGCCUCUUGUGAUGCAGCGAGCGCCGGGCGAGGUCCGCGCUUCGGCUAGGAUGCUGGCGUAAUGGUCGUAAUCCGCCCGUCUUGAAACACGGACCAAGGAGUCUAACAUCUAUGCGAGUGUUCGGGUGUCAAACCCCUACGCGUAAUGAAAGUGAACGGAGGUGAGAACCGCAAGGUGCAUCAUCGACCGAUCCUGAUGUCUUCGGAUGGAUUUGAGUAAGAGCAUAGCUGUUGGGACCCGAAAGAUGGUGAACUAUGCCUGAAUAGGGUGAAGCCAGAGGAAACUCUGGUGGAGGCUCGCAGCGGUUCUGACGUGCAAAUCGAUCGUCAAAUUUGGGUAUAGGGGCGAAAGACUAAUCGAACCAU